rnacentral:rRNA from 1 species
UACGUAGGUGGCAAGCGUUGUCCGGAUUUAUUGGGUUUAAAGGGUGCGUAGGCGGCUUUGUAAGUCAGUGGUGAAAUAUGGCAGCUCAACUGUCAAGGUGCCAUUGAUACUGCGGAGCUUGAGUACAGAUGAGGUAGGCGGAAUUGACGGUGUAGCGGUGAAAUGCUUAGAUAUCGUCAAGAACACCGAUAGCGAAGGCAGCUUACUAGGCUGUAACUGACGCUGAGGCACGAAAGUGUGGGGAUCAAACAGG